rnacentral:rRNA from 1 species
CCUACGGGGGGCAGCAGUGAGGAAUAUUGGUCAAUGGACGAGAGUCUGAACCAGCCAAGUAGCGUGAAGGAUGACUGCCCUAUGGGUUGUAAACUUCUUUUAUAAGGGAAUAAAACGAGGCACGUGUGCCUUUUUGCAUGUACUUUAUGAAUAAGGAACGGCUAACUCCGUGCCAGCAGCCGCGGUAAUACGGAGGGUGCGGGCGUUAAUCGGAAUUACUGGGCGUAAAGCGCUCGUAGGCGGUAUGUCAAGUCAAGGGUGAAAUCCCCGCGCUCAACGUGGGAACUGCCUUUGAAACUGGCAAACUGGAGUGUGUGAGAGGAUAGUGGAAUUCCAGGUGUAGCGGUGAAAUGCAUAGAUAUCACGCAGAACUCCGAUUGCGAAGGCAGCAUACCGGCGCCCAACUGACGCUGAAGCACGAAAGCGUGGGUAUCGAACAGGAUUAGAUACCCCUGUAGUC